GGUUAAAUUGUCUUUGGGUUAUAAUUAGGUUAAGUUUUAGGGUUAGGUUUAGGGCCAGAUUAAGGGUUAUGUUUAGGGCUAGGUUUAGAAUUAAAUUGUCUUUUGGGUUAUAAUUAGGUUAAGUUUUAGGGUUAGGGUUAGGUUUAGGGCCAGAUUAAGGGUUAUGUUUAGGGCUAGGUUUAAAAUUAAAUUGUCUUUUGGGUUAUAAUUAGGUUAAGUUUUAGGUUUUAGGGUUAGGUUUAGGGCCAGAUUAAAGGUUAUGUUUAGGGUUAGGGUUAGGGUUAGGUUUAGGGCCAGAUUAAAGGUUAUGUUUAGGGCCAGGUUUAGGGUUAAACUGUCUUUGGGUUAUAAUUAGGUUAAGUUUUAGGGUUAGGUUUAGGGCCAGAUUAAAGGUUAUGUUUAGGGUUAGGGUUAGGGUUAGGUUUAGGGCCAGAUUAAAGGUUAUGUUUAGGGCCAGGUUUAGGGUUAAACUGUCUUUGGGUUAUAAUUAGGUUAAGUUUUAGGGUUAGGGUUAGGUUUAGGGCCAGAUUAAAGGUUAUGUUUAGGGCCAGGUUUAGGGUUAAAUUGUCUUUGAGUCAUAAUUAGGUUAAGUUUUAGGUUAGGUUAGGUUUAGGGCCAGAGUAAAGGUUAUGUUUAUGGUUAGG